GCAGCUAUAGGUCAAUUGGUAGACUGUUCGCCUUCCAAGCGAAGCAUACUGAUUCGAGUUCAGUUGGCUGCA
rnacentral:tRNA from 1 species